GAUGAACGCUGGCGGCGUGCCUAACACAUGCAAGUCGAACGGAGUCGUUUUGGAAAUCUCUUCGGAGAUGGAAUUCUCGACUUAGUGGCGGACGGGUGAGUAACGCGUGAGCAAUCUGCCUUUAAGAGGGGGAUAACAGUCGGAAACGGCUGCUAAUACCGUAUAAAGCAUUAAAUUCGCAUGUUUUUGAUGCCAAAGGAGCAAUCCGCUUUUAGAUGGGCUUGCGUAUGAUUAGCUAGUUGGCGGGGUAACGGCCCACCAAGGCGACGAUCAGUAGCCGGACUGGGAGGAGGAACGGCCACAUUGGGACUGGGACACGGCCCAGACUCCUACGGGAGGCAGCAGUGGGGAAUGUUGCGCAAUGGGGGAAACCCUGACGCAGCAACGCCGCGUGAUUGAAGAAGGCCUUCGGGUUGUAAAGAUCUUUAAUCAGGGACGAAACAAAUGACGGUACCUGAAGAAUAAGCUCCGGCUAACUACGUG
rnacentral:rRNA from 1 species